CUUCCGUAUUGGUCGCGGCGCAAAUAUUAGACUGAGACCGACGCGUACGGGCCGUUGCAGCAGCGGUCGCGCUCCGCGCGCGGGUCGAGGCGUACGGCUUCACGCCCCUUCGAUUUUGGUGACUCUGGAUAACUGUCAGUACGAUCGCACGGGCUAGUAUCGACUAGCCUUUUCGCGACGGGUCCGCUGCGAGUCCGCCCUAUCAACUGUCAACGGCCCGGUAAGUGCCGACAGUGGUGGCAACGGGUAACGGGGAAUCAGGGUUCGAUUCCGGAAAGGGAGCAUGCGAAACGUCUACCACAUCCAAGGAAGGCAGCAGGCGCGCAAAUUACCCACUCCCGGCACGGGGAGGUAGUGACGAAAAAUAAUGACGCGGGACU
rnacentral:ncRNA from 1 species